rnacentral:rRNA from 1 species
UACGUAGGCAGCAAGCGUUGUUCGGAAUUACUGGGCGUAAAGAGUGUGUAGGCGGUGCUCCAAGUCUGGUGUGAAAUCUCCCGGCUCAACUGGGAGGGUGCGCUAGAAACUGGAAUGCUAGAGGAUGGGAGAGGUAAGCGGAAUUCCUGGUGUAGCGGUGAAAUGCGUAGAUAUCAGGAGGAACACCUGUGGUGUAGACAGCUUGCUGGACCAUUUCUGACGCUGAGACACGAAAGCGUGGGGAGCAAACAGG